AACUGCAACACAGAGCCAACAGUAACCGCCCACCCUGCCAGGCCAGCUGGCCAGGCCAGCUGGAGACCAUGGUCACCUCUCGGUUGGCUGCUUUGCAAUCAAACUGACAGAUUGGAAGUUGAAACUCUAAAUCCAAACAGACCCACUGGCCCUUCCCCUCAGACGGUCUGAGACGCCCUGGCCUGGCCCAGCCCCUGCGCGGCGGACAGGGCAGGAGGUCUGGGUGGGCGACACGGCUCUGGUCUAAUUCAGAAACCGCACCCACUCACAACUCGUGAACUGCACUUGGACACCUGCUCGGCUCCCAGCAAACCUGGGCUCGGGGGUGGCUGGCUGAAGGUCAUGGGAGCAGGAAGAGGCCGUGUCCCUGUGUUUUCCCAAGCUUCCCUGGUCGGCCUCAAAAGCCCUUAGAAAUGAAAAGCCAGCCUCAUCACACUGCUCUGUAACUUCUCAGGGAAAGUGCUCCAAAUCCUUCUCCACCAAAGAAAAAAGACGAGAUUUCACAGCUGGAUUCUCAUCCUUGAGCCUUGCUGGGCACAUCAGCCCAUGAAGGCACCAGCCACAGAAUGAAUGACUCAGGGCCACUUCCAAGUGCCUAUGUAUUAUGAAACCUUGACCUUGCCACCGUGACUUUGCUGCUAAGAUAACUACUUUGACAGGCUGCCAGCUCCAUGGUUAAUGAGGGGUGCCCACACACGGUAGAAGAAAAGUUAAUACAACACACCCGUUUGGAUCUUCGAGAGCAUUGUGAUUGACAUUUGUGCUCCCUGGGGACCAGGAAUGAGCUCCCUGCUUCCUGGGAUGGGUCACACGCAUCUGCCACACUUGGCAGAAUUCCGUUGGCUUCCCCGAACAACUGAACUUUUGCUAACAUCGCCCCCACCCCCUCCACUCACCUGCUGCCCCUCUGGGAGGAGGCCGAAUGUUUCCCUGAGACGCAGCCACGUCAGUCAUGGCCUGGAAGGCUUUGAGGUCUUUGGACUACAAAGUAAAUUCGAGCAAUUUAAAGUAACACGAGGGCACCUCUGCCCUCAGCCAUGGUUCUGCUCACCUGUGCCCUCUGAACUCUGACACUGCUCAUGCCGAAGAACCCUCCCGCCCUCCCUCGGACCAUGUGCUGAGGAAAGGACAGAAGAGAGAAGUUUCCACCCGUGUACUAUUCACGAGCACUGUUAUUUCACACACGGGUCAGAAUUAAGCAGGAGAGGCGACAGAACAAGGGGUAGGUCCCAGCACUCUAACCGCUUCCAAUCUUGGGAAAAUAAAGAGGACACAAGCAUAUCCUAGCUCAGAUCUUCCCAUUCUUUCACCCUGGUUUCUGUAGAUAUCUUUGGGAUUCAACGUGCCUCAGAGACUGGCCUGAUCCAAAUUAUUCUCGAUUCCUCUGUAGGCACAGGACGUCGGCACGGGACAGUGGGCAUCUGGGACAGAGGGCGUGGGGACACCCAGAGCAAGUGUGGUACAGCUGUGCUCCCUCAGGAAGUUUACACCAAACAGACGUGCCCUUUGGAUUUUGUUCUUUAACUACCAGACCAAGAGAGACAAGCAAGAAAAUGAAUGAAGAAUCAGCCUUUCACGCACAUGCCAUAGAAGCUACUAAUGACCACAUGUAGUGACACAACUUGUUUUCAAUCACUUGUAUCAGACUGCUACUCAUCCGGUGACAGCAGCGAACACUUCAGGUUGCAGGUGUUGCGGGUCUGACGCACAGCCGCUCUGCCAGGAGGGAAGCAGUUAAGGACAGUGGCCGGGCGCCCGUGUCAGUGCCUGCUGGCUGCCCUGCAGAGGUUUCUCCAGUCCUUUCAGGAGACCUCGCUGCCUGCCUGCUGCAGUACCUCUGGUCCAGUUACAAGGCCAGGACCGGUCCCAGCUUGCUGAGGUUGGCUGGCUCAAACACUCAAGCUUAUCUCUCUGACUCUGGAAUGAAUGUCUCCGCAGCCCCACAAGGCCCCCAGCAAGUCUGGUCUAGACAGGCCGGAAUAGCCGGGGCCCAGGAGCUGGUUGGGAAACACAUUUGGCGGCUCACAGCCAACUCCACAAACGUGCCGGGAACGUCGAUGAACACGGAAACCCACAUUUCAACAGUUCUCCAAGGAAGAAAACGCUGUUCCAGCCAGGGAGGAAUGGAGCUGGGGUCUCUUCUUGCAAGGGCUACAUGACAUGAGAGCCUGCAUUUCAAAUCAGGCAGAACAAUGGGACCUGAACUCCCAGGAGGUUAGUGUUCCUACUGCCCCAACAGGCAGGGUGUGCGCGGAGCCAUCUGUGGGAAAGCCCAGAGGAGGCUGCAGACACGCAUUUGCAUGUAGGAGACAGUUGAGAGGAUUAGAAAAACAUGGCAUCUGCAUUAUAAUUCAUAUUGAUUUGACUCUGACCCUCCGGUAAGAAAAGCUUCCCAGUUCCCACAGAAUUUUAAAUCGUGCAAAUCACCAGCAAAGACCCUGUCCCCAGGCUCAGGAGUUGUGGGCGGGCAGGAGGAGAAAGGCUGUGGAGGCGCCAAUCCCGACUAAGCAACUUGCCAGCCCUGGGCUGCCAGCAGGAGACGCCCGCCCUGGUCCCUACUCUCCCAGAGAGGCGGUCUGGAAAGACCACACACAGAGAAAUGGCAGAACAGGUCCUGAGCUCUGGAAACACAGUGCCUGGGUCUGGUCCCCACCCCUCCCACUCUGUAGCCUGCGCUAGUUACUUCUUUGUCGUUUUGAUUUCUCCUGUGCCAGAGGAGAAAAUUCCCUGUGGCCCCAGGUGGGGUGGGGAGGAGGAAGGAGAGGGUGGGGCAUCAGGGUUGGCCCUGGAGGAUAAAACUUGAGAACGGGAAGGGUAUUUGGGGCAUCUGAGGUCGGAGUAGUUGGGCCUGGGUGGAUGGAGGUCCUGAGGAGGGUUGAAGCAUGCUGAAAUACGACAGUGGGCGUAUGACGUGUGUGUAUAUGCACGCGCGCGCGCACACACACACACAC